AGUGAACGCUGGCGGCAGGCCUAACACAUGCAAGUCGAGCGGCAGCGCGGGGGCAACCCUGGCGGCGAGCGGCGGACGGGUGAGGAAUUCGUCGGAAUCUGCCUUUUUGUGGGGGAUAACGUAGGGACACUUACGCUAAUACCGCAUACGUCCUACGGGCGAAAGUGGGGGACCGCAAGGCCUCACGCAGAAAGAUGAGCCGACGACCGAUUAGCUAGUUGGUGGGGUAAAGGCCCACCAAGGCGACGAUCGGUAGCUGGUCUGAGAGGAUGAUCAGCCACACUGGGACUGAGACACGGCCCAGACUCCUACGGGAGGCAGCAGUGGGGAAUAUUGGACAAUGGGCGCAAGCCUGAUCCAGCCAUGCCGCGUGUGUGAAGAAGGCCUUCGGGUUGUAAAGCACUUUUGUUCGGAAAGAAAUCCCUGGAGCUAAUACCUUCGGGGGAUGACGGUACCGGAAGAAUAAGCACCGGCUAACUUCGUG
rnacentral:rRNA from 1 species